rnacentral:rRNA from 1 species
UACGGAGGGUGCAAGCGUUAUCCGGAUUUACUGGGUUUAAAGGGUGCGUAGGCGGGCUAUUAAGUCAGUGGUGAAAUCCCGGGGCUCAACCUCGGAACUGCCAUUGAUACUAUUAGCCUUGAAUUAUGUUGAGGUUGGCGGAAUAUAACAUGUAGCGGUGAAAUGCUUAGAUAUGUUAUGGAACACCGAUUGCGAAGGCAGCUGACUGAGCCUUGAUUGACGCUGAGGUACGAAAGUGUGGGUAGCGAACAGG